UAGGGAAUCUUCCACAAUGGACGCAAGUCCGAUGGAGCAACGCCGCGUGAGUGAAGAAGGGUUUCGGCUCGUAAAGCUCUGUUGUUAAAGAAGAACGUGGGUAAGAGUAACUGUUUACCCAGUGACGGUAUUUAACCAGAAAGCCACGGCUAACUACGUGCCUG
rnacentral:rRNA from 1 species